CUCUCCCGCAGUUAUCGGAGCAACGAAAAGCCAAAAGAGUCAACACUCAGUGACAACUGAGCAACCAAUACAAAAUUCCUUAUCCGCAAAUCAUCUCUAACCGAAAUCGAUUUCCCACUUUCUUCACUAUAUAAAAACGCGUAACUCAAAAUCAAAACCCGUCGUUCGAAGCAAGCAGUCUCGGUGACGCCGGCGAAUGAAAACUCAACCGCGUUACAAAGGAGAGUGAGCGAGUUACGGCGAACGAGUUCAAAUGUUGACCGGCUUGGCUUAGCGCCGUAGCUGGUGAAGCUAUUCACGGCUGUGUUCCUCUUCGCGCCGAUGAUGUGACAAACUCGAGAAGGUUCACCACUGUUAUUAUAUUUAUUUUUAUAUCCAUAAAUUUAGGAACCUCAAUAAUUCCAAAUCAAGGAAUGAAGAAAGAUGUUGUAUACGAUCUCAUGGAAAAUUAGUAAAUUUUUUCAUCAAAAUAUUUGAUUGCAGAUAUUAGGGCAAAAUAAUACCAUAAGGCCUAUGAGGCACGACGAACACCACACUGAUACCGUGACAGCAAUUAUAAUUUGAAAAAAUGAAUAAAUUAAAUUACUCAAAAGUAUCCGGGUAAGUGUCGGUGUCUCUGGACAUGGACACACCAUUUUUAGAAGUGUCGGCGAAAGUUGAUUUAUGUAAUCGACCCCACUCAGUGGGAUAAGGCUCCGUUGUUGUUGUUUGUAUUGGUAAUGUUAUGUACAUGCAUGUUUAUUUACAGUAAUGAUUUAAUUUACCAUUUCAGAUUUCUCUUUGCAGGUUUCAGCAAAUCAAACUUAAAAUUCUCACAAGGUCAGUAGUAUACAUGAAUAUGCUUCCCAUAUGAAGAUUGUAUCUCAAGGAGAUAUUUCUUUUUCUGAACCAUUACAAGUUUCAACAUCAAGUGGCUUUGCUUGGGCAAAAAGCCGAAAAGACAACACUUCAAUUCGAUCAUGUUGUUUAUCUUUUUUUAGUGGACAGAGUAUCAAUGCUUUAGAUUCUUCUGCAUUAAACUCAAGUCAUUUGGAUACCAUAAAUCAGGAAAAUAAGGAGUUUUGUGGGAGAACCCCAACUCUAGAGGGCAUCAUGACCUAGUUGAAAUUUCUUACUCUUCAAAGGAAAAUCCACAUAAUAGGUUCAAUCGGAAAUACUUAUUUGAUGCUUCUGAUGAGUACCACUUGCAAGAACGGUGGAUGACUCAAUAGGACAUCAGACUGCAGGGACGCGAGUUUGAACCUGCGAGAUUCCACUUAUACACCUUUAAAAGGUGAAAUUCCAGCAUAUGCUCAAGGGUAUAGUGAAAAGAAAAAUGUCAGUUAUGUAAUUUAUGUGUGCUUGGGUUAACAUUACUCUUUAUUCAUUACCAUCCCAGCAGAGUUAUCAGGAUAAUGAGAAAAUGUUGAAUUUUCAAGACCACUGCUGCCUCAAAUGCACACGGUUGACGAGCUCUUAGAAAGUAAUGAGCGUCACAUCCAGUGAACUGUCCGAAGAUCAUGGUUUCGGAAAGACACAUUCAACAUUCAAAACAACAGAUUAAGUGCUAUAUGAAGCAAUUGUUAUCUGCUGUUGAGUAUUUUCACUUGCGGGGCGUGAUGCACGGGGACAUCAAAGGAUCAAAUCUUUUGGUGUAUAAUGAAGGAAUGAUGCCGGAACAUCAAAGGUUGCAGAUUUUGGUUUAGGGAAAUUCAUUAGAUCUGAGAUAAAAGAGCCCCUCGCUAUUUGUGUUAUCAUCUUAUGGUAUCGUCCUCCGGUGCUUUCGCUUGGUUCAAUGGAUUUUGAUCCGUCGUUGGAUCAUUGGAGUGUUGGCUGCAUCUUAGCAGAGCUACUUCUUAGGAAUCCUUUACUUCAUGGGAAAAUUUAGGUGAGACUAUUACAUAAAAUUUUCAAGAUUUGUGGCUCCCUACCUGAUGGAUAAAGAAUGAAUUUUCUAGUGCAACUUUGAUUCGACCGCGACAACUAUGUGAUGGUUGCUUCCGAGGGUACUUUAAAGAUUUGCAUCCAACCAAUGUACAUUUGCUACAAACUCUUCUCUUCUUCAUUGAACCUAACAAACGUGGAACUGCCACGUCUGUUCUCUCGUCAGAGGUAGGUUGCUCUGAUUUUGGAAUUUGUUGAGAAUUCAUAUUAUGUUGUUUAUUCUGUUGUUGAUUGGAAAUACUAAAAAAAUACUUAUUUCUGGAUAGAAUAUUAAUAUACGUAUCAUGAGUUUAGUUUUGAUACACUAUCGGUGUAAAAAGUCUUAAAUUGUUAACAACAAAACACAAUCAAUAAAUGUGUGAUUUUAGAAGUAGUUAUGAUAAAAAUCAAAUAUGUUUAAUGAUCUGCUGAUUAUGCUUGAUUGACGGUUUAAAAAAACAUUACACCGGCAGAAUUUAUGGAUUAAUUUUUUUAUACAAUAUUGUUGAUUUCCUUUGUCCAUAAUAAACCAGACAAUCCACUUUGGUCAUUUAAUUUUAGGCGUAUCCAUAAACGUUAAUCAAUUCCUUUUUCUUAUGUUAGGCCUAAAUACAACCUUAUGACUACUCAUCAUUAGAAUAUGUUGAAGAACUGUUCUAGUGUUUUGAUGAUAUUACCUUACCACUUUCAGUGUUUCAAAACAAAACCUUGUGCAUGUGACCCAUCAAGCUUGCUGAAGUACUUGCCUCUUUAAGUACUCGUCUUUGGAUUACAUCUUUUUUCUAUAGUUAGUUAUCUUGAAAUUAGUGUUACUAGAUAGCCAUGGCAGAAUUCUGUGGCAGAUUUUUUGACAACCGGUCACCAUAGGUAAUUUGUGAAGAGAUAAUGCCAUAGGCUGCAAUGGCGUGUUUAUACAGUGGAUUUUUGGCCUUCCUCCAUUAGUCAUUGACAACACUGGUAGAAAUAUGUCCUUUAAUGUUGUAGUUAACAAUCAUUCAGCUUCUAUUCUUAUAAUCACUCAUUAACAACACUGGUUGAAAUAUGUCUUUGUACAGCAGAUUUUUCUGCCUAGUCUUGAAAUAAUUAAAAAAAGUAGAAACAUAUUCUUAGUCUUUAAAAAUAACAUCCAUUCAACUUCUAUUCUUAUAAAAUAUUUAUUCAUUUUGAGUGUUUAUAAUUGACAAUUAUCACAAUUGGGUUCUAUGGUGUAGUGGUUAGCACUCUGGACUUUGAAUCCAGCGACCUGGGUUCGACUCCCGGUAGGACCUGUUUUUAAUGUCCUUAAGUUCUUUUUCACUUCGGAAAAAUUAAAAUUGUCUUCUAGUCCUCGACGACAGGCGCCUCAAAGUGAUUGUCACCAUGUGGUAUCGAAAUAGAGGUUUUGCUUGGUUUGACAGAUUAUGAUUCGUCGGCGGAUCUUUACAGUGUUGGCUGCAUCCUUGCAGAACUAGUUGUUAAGAAUCCUAUACUUCAAGGGAAAUGUGAGGUUGAAGCCUCUUCAAAGUUAAUGGAUUCCUAUAUCAUGAUGCAUAUUAGUUUGGUUUGUGUUGUUUACAUCUCAUUAGGAAAUCAAGUUAUUUGGUCUGAAUAUUGCUUAUUAGAUGAAUCAAUUGGAAAUUACAAUUUCUAGACUAUAUUUGAAUUUGUUGUUUUGAAACACUUUUUAAAACCAAAGAACACCUUCAGUCAUUGACAUCACUGGUUUAAAUAUAUCUUUUUAGUGUUCCAAUAUCACUAGCAUUGCUUAGUCUAUUAUUUUAUUCGACAAGCAAAUUUUGUUCAAUACAAGUUCAACCAUGCAAUAUAUGAGUACUUGGGUUGACAUAAGUAUUUAUUUGUUACAAUCUAUGCAGAGUUAUCAGGAUCAAAGAGAAAAUGUUGAAUUUUCAGGACUCCCUACUAUCUGCAAUACACACGGUUGACGAGCUAUUAGAAAGGAAUGAGUGUCUCAUCCGGCGAACCGUUUUGAGAUCAUGGUUUCUGAAGUGAAGCUUCAAGGAUGGAUUACAUCUAGUUCGCCAUGUACCUUAUACCACGUGUGUGUUUGAGUACAUGCAGCAUUGUAGAGUUCUUGGCAGUCCAGAUAUCAAGUUCACUCAACCGCAGAUACUAAUAAUAAGGUUAAAUCUUUGUGUUAUAGGCUAUGAAGGAACUGGUGAGGUUUUAAGUGAGCCUAAGGUUAAAUCUUUGUGUUAUAGGCUAUGAAGGAACUGGUGAGGUUUUAAGUGAGCCGCAUCUAUUGCUCGUUGAAAGCUAUUUCCAUAUACUUAAGUCUGCUAAGACCUUUGAGAAUUUCUGGAAGAGCUCAUUUUUUUGAGUAAAGCCUUACAAUUUUUUAAUUUUAAAAAUAACAAUAUAUGCUUUAAAUUAUGGUUGUGAUUGUCGUUGUCGGUAUAGUGCAAUUUCUUAUAUUACGAGAAAAAUGUUGCAAUCACGAACUCAUUAUGCGGUUGGAGAGACUGCUAAUAUGUAUUGUGGUUGCAAAAUUCAGUUUAGAAACUUGACGAUAAAUGUUCUUAGUUUUAUAAUUUUCUAAUUAAGUAGUUAUACUCUUACACAAAUGGAAAUAAUGUUGAUUGAGCAUUGCAUGUUUGUUUUGCAGAUUAAGUGCUAUAUGAAGCAAUUGUUAUUUGGUGUUGAGUAUGUUCACCCGAGGGACGUGAUGUACUGGGACAUCAGAGGAUCAAAUCUUUUGGUGAAUAAUGAGGAAUAUUGAAGGGUUGCGGUUUUGGGUUAGCAAACUUCGUUAUAUCUGGAAAAAAAAUACCCCCUCACUAGUUGGGUUAUCACCUUAUUAUUGUAUCUUCCACCAAAGCUUUUGCUUAGUUCAACGGAUAAUGAUUCUUCGGUGGAUCUUUGGAGUGUUGGCUGCAUCUUUGCAAAGCUACUUGUUAGGGAUCCUAUACUUCAUGGGAAAACUAAGGUAUUAGCCUCUUCAAAGUUAAUGUUCCCAUAUCAUGAUGGAUAUUAGUUCGGUUUGUUUUAUAUAAGUUCCAAUAUCAUUAGCAUUGCUUAGUCUAUUGUUUUAUGGACAACAAACAAAAUUUGUUUCAUCCAGGUUCCAAAUUCCAAUAUCAUAACCAUGUCCAUUACUUUAGUCUAUUGUUAGUACAUAUAUAGUCUUGAUGAAGUAAUUCACAUUUAACUCAUAGCUAUAAUACAUUAUUUAUAUUGUUCAGAACACAAAUGGGUUCUAUGGUGUAGUGGUUAGCACUCUGGACUUUGAAUCCAGCGACCUGGGUUCGACUCCCGGUAGGACCUUUUCUGUUUUUUCAUUUUGAAUAAGAUUGAACUGUUUGUGUUCGGAGUUUGAAAUCGGGGU